rnacentral:misc_RNA from 1 species
GAUGAAGAACGUAGCGAAAUGCGAUAAGUAAUGUGAAUUGCAGAAUCCAGUGAAUCAUCGAAUCUUUGAACGCACAUUGCGCCCGCCAGUAUUCUGGCGAGCAUGCCUGUUCGAGCGUCAUUUCAACCAUCAAGCCCCAGGCUUGUGUUGGAGCCCUGCGGCUGCCGCAGCCUCCCAAAACCAGUGGCGGGCUCGCUAUCACACCGAGUGCAGUAGUUUACUCUUCGCUCAGGGCGUGUGGCGGGUGCUAGCCGUGAAACCCCCAACUUCUCAAGGUUGACCUCGGAUCAGGUAGGAAUACCCGCUGAACUUAAGCAUAUCAAUAAGCGGAGGA